rnacentral:tRNA from 1 species
GCCUGCCUGGCUUAGUUGGUAGAGCAUGAGACUCUUGAUCUCGGGGUUGUUGGUUCGAGCCCGGCUUUGGGUG